CUUAACUCUAAGGUUUCAGUCUCCCUUUAACGAGCUUAAGAGAUCGGAGUUCUCUCUUCCGUUGAACUCUAAGAUUUUCGCCUCCCUUUAACGAGCUGAAUUUAUAUAUCGCUUUGUGAAUCGAUCCUUCCAUAAAGAUCCAUAACAAUCUCUUUCAUAUUUAGCCAUAUCAAAUGGGGCUUCAAGGUACAUGAAUGGAGAUGAUGAUACCAUAUAACCUUAGUUACUCAAAGAAUACCUUUAGAUUUAACUAGGGUGGCAAACGGUCAGUUUGUGCUGAAGUUGGGUGGGUCAAGAUGUAAAUGGAUAUCUGGAUAAUUCCUGAUAAUCACAACGUCCAAACAUUUCAAUUUUCGAUUUUAUGAGAGCAAUCAUGAUACAGUUGUUGUAAGCAGAGAGAGUGGUAAGGGAAAAAAAACAGAAACAGUGAAACGUUCUAGUUCUGUCAUCUUGGUCAGAAUAUCUACAGUAAUGUCUCUAGUUACGAUGUCAUUCAAAUCCCCUGAGUGGACAAUUUCGACAGCCAUGAGUUAUAUUGCCACAAAGAUAACAGCCAUCACGAUGGAACUGUGAAUUCUUGUGGAACUGCUAAGUCUGGUUAUGGUCACCUCCUGAGCUCACGACCCCUACUGCGAGCAAUUCUGCCUUUGCUCUGUUCUCCUGAAUCUCCCUUGGUAGCAACAGAUCUCCGGUGGUUUUCCUUUGCCUUGGUGUUAUCAGUGCGAAAACCAGUCAAGGACUCGGCCACUACAAUAGCCUCAUCCACGUCCUUGACUUGAUGUCUUUGUAACUCUUGUUUGACCCAAUUUUGGAGGCCAUCCAAGAAAUUAAACAGCAAGUCCUCAUUAUUUAGAUUUAGAAUCUAAAGAGUGAGGUUUGUGAACUCUCUCACGUAGUGAUGAACCUCAAGUCUUUGUAACUCUUGUUUGACCCAAUUUUGGAGGUCAUCCAAGAAAUUAAACAGCAAG